rnacentral:lncRNA from 1 species
UUAUGAAGUACUUUCAUUAAGUAACAUUAUUUAAUGAUCCUUGCAAUAAGUUUGAGAUGUAAGGUGGGUACUAAAGCACCUCUCUUGAUUUUACAGGUGAGGAAACCUGGGCUCAGGUUGGGACCCAAGCUCAUCUAGCAGCAGAGGGGCAGAGCAGAUAAGUUCUACGCUCCUUCUGUCAUUCCAUACUGCCAUACUUAAUGUCAGAAAAUUAAGGUCAGUAACUCUUUGGCCUACGCAAGAUCCCAGUGAGAUGAGGGAGAAAGGAGGCAGUCGGCCUUAUCAUUUCGCAGACCAGAAAAUAGAGACCGAGGGAGGCUACACCUGCAGAGGGAAAGAUGAAAUGAAGCCUCUCUCCGCUGGUGUUCCACAUGCUUUCCAUUUGACCGGGAUUCCCCAAACUUGGCUGAUCAUCAGCAUCACUGAGGAGCAAGGGGGACAAGGAAGCUGGGAGCUCCAGUGGGACUGCCGAGGACUGCCACCGGCUGUCUGACGGCGCCUGGCAGGAACAGAACUCCAUCAAGCAGGAGAGAAGAGAGCAGCAGAUAGCCGGCUGCAAGCCCCGGAGAAGCAUUCCAAAAUCAGAGGAUUUGCAUAGUAAAAUUGAAAGCAUAUUUGCAUUCAGGAAUCAAACGCAUGCAUUACCACUGUCCUGGAAAUAGGCUGACUCAGACCAUACGACUAAAUAAAAGAAUAAUGUUUACUCA